UACGAAGGGGGCUAGCGUUGCUCGGAAUUACUGGGCGUAAAGGGCGCGUAGGCGGACGUUUAAGUCAGAGGUUAAAUCCCAGGGCUCAACCCUGGAACUGCCUUUGAUACUGGACGUCUUGAGUACGGGAGAGGUGUGUGGAACUCCGAGUGUAGAGGUGAAAUUCGUAGAUAUUCGGAAGAACACCAGUGGCGAAGGCGACACACUGGCCCGUUACUGACGCUGAGGCGCGAAAGCGUGGGAAGCAAACAGG
rnacentral:rRNA from 1 species